UACGUAGGGUGCGAGCGUUAAUCGGAAUUACUGGGCGUAAAGCGUGCGCAGGCGGUUUUGUAAGACCGAUGUGAAAUCCCCGGGCUCAACCUGGGAACUGCAUUGGUGACUGCAAGGCUUGAGUGUGUCAGAGGAGGUGGAAUUCCGCGUGUAGCAGUGAAAUGCGUAGAUAUGCGGAGGAACACCGAUGGCGAAGGCAGCCUCCUGGGAUAACACUGACGCUCAUGCACGAAAGCGUGGGAGCAACAGG
rnacentral:rRNA from 1 species